UACGAAGGGGGCUAGCGUUGUUCGGAAUCACUGGGCGUAAAGGGUGCGUAGGCGGAUUCUUAAGUCAGGGGUGAAAUCCCGAGGCUCAACCUCGGAACUGCCUUUGAUACUGGGGAUCUUGAGUCCGGAAGAGGUGAGUGGAACUGCGAGUGUAGAGGUGAAAUUCGUAGAUAUUCGCAAGAACACCGGUGGCGAAGGCGGCUCACUGGUCCGGAACUGACGCUGAGGCACGACAGCGUGGGGAGCAAACAGG
rnacentral:rRNA from 3 species